rnacentral:rRNA from 1 species
UUCCGGUUGAUCCUGCCGGACCUGACUGCUAUCGGAUUGAUACUAAGCCAUGCGAGUCAUUGUAGCAAUACAAGGCAUACGGCUCAGUAACGCGUAGUCAACCUACCCUAUGGACGGGAAUAACCUCGGGAAACUGAGAAUAAUGCCCGAUAGAACAUUAUGCCUGGAAUGGUUUAUGUUCCAAAUAAUUUAUUGCCGUAGGAUGGGACUGCGGCCUAUCAGUUUGUUGGUGAGGUAAUGGCCCACCAAGACUAUUACAGGUACGGGCUCUGAGAGGAGUGGCCCGGAGAUGGGUACUGAGACACGGACCCAGGCCCUAUGGGGCGCAGCAGGCGAGAAAACUUUGCAAUGUGCGAAAGCACGACAAGGUUAAUCCGAGUGGUUUCUGCUAAAGGAACCUUUUGUUAGUCCUAGAAACACUAACGAAUAAGGGGUGGGCAAGUUCUGGUGUCAGCCGCCGCGGUAAAACCAGCACCUCAAGUGGUCAGGAUGAUUAUUGGGCCUAAAGCAUCCGUAGCCUGAUCUGUAAGUUUUCGGUUAAAUCUGUACGCUCAACGUACAGGCUGCCGGGAAUACUGCAAAUCUAGGGAGUGGGAGAGGAAGACGGUACUCGGGAGGAAGUGGUAAAAUGCUUUGAUCUCUCGAUGA